AGAGUUUGAUCAUGGCUCAGAUUGAACGCUGGCGGCAGGCCUAACACAUGCAAGUCGAACGGUAACAGGAAGAAGCUUGCUUCUUUGCUGACGAGUGGCGGACGGGUGAGUAAUGUCUGGGAAACUGCCUGAUGGAGGGGGAUAACUACUGGAAACGGUAGCUAAUACCGCAUAACGUCGCAAGACCAAAGAGGGGGACCUUCGGGCCUCUUGCCAUCGGAUGUGCCCAGAUGGGAUUAGCUAGUAGGUGGGGUAACGGCUCACCUAGGCGACGAUCCCUAGCUGGUCUGAGAGGAUGACCAGCCACACUGGAACUGAGACACGGUCCAGACUCCUACGGGAGGCAGCAGUGGGGAAUAUUGCACAAUGGGCGCAAGCCUGAUGCAGCCAUGCCGCGUGUAUGAAGAAGGCCUUCGGGUUGUAAAGUACUUUCAGCGGGGAGGAAGGGAGUAAAGUUAAUACCUUUGCUCAUUGACGUUACCCGCAGAAGAAGCACCGGCUAACUCCGUGCCAGCAGCCGCGGUAAUACGGAGGGUGCAAGCGUUAAUCGGAAUUACUGGGCGUAAAGCGCACGCAGGCGGUUUGUUAAGUCAGAUGUGAAAUCCCCGGGCUCAACCUGGGAACUGCAUCUGAUACUGGCAAGCUUGAGUCUCGUAGAGGGGGGUAGAAUUCCAGGUGUAGCGGUGAAAUGCGUAGAGAUCUGGAGGAAUACCGGUGGCGAAGGCGGCCCCCUGGACGAAGACUGACGCUCAGGUGCGAAAGCGUGGGAGCAAACAGGAUUAGAUACCCUGGUAGUCCACGCCGUAAACGAUGUCGACUUGGAGGUUGUGCCCUUGAGGCGUGGCUUCCGGAGCUAACGCGUUAAGUCGACCGCCUGGGGAGUACGGCCGCAAGGUUAAAACUCAAAUGAAUUGACGGGGGCCCGCACAAGCGGUGGAGCAUGUGGUUUAAUUCGAUGCAACGCGAAGAACCUUACCUGGUCUUGACAUCCACAGAACUUUCCAGAGAUGGAUUGGUGCCUUCGGGAACUGUGGGACAGGUGCUGCAUGGCUGUCGUCAGCUCGUGUUGUGAAAUGUUGGGUUAAGUCCCGCAACGAGCGCAACCCUUAUCUUUUGUUGCCAGCGGUCCGGCCGGGAACUCAAAGGAGACUGCCAGUGAUAAACUGGAGGAAGGUGGGGAUGACGUCAAGUCAUCAUGGCCCUUACGACCAGGGCUACACACGUGCUACAAUGGCGCAUACAAAGAGAAGCGACCUCGCGAGAGCAAGCGGACCUCAUAAAGUGCGUCGUAGUCCGGAUUGGAGUCUGCAACUCGACUCCAUGAAGUCGGAAUCGCUAGUAAUCGUGGAUCAGAAUGCCACGGUGAAUACGUUCCCGGGCCUUGUACACACCGCCCGUCACACCAUGGGAGUGGGUUGCAAAAGAAGUAGGUAGCUUAACCUUCGGGAGGGCGCUUACCACUUUGUGAUUCAUGACUGGGGUGAAGUCGAACAAGGUAACCGUAGGGGAACCUGCGGUUG
rnacentral:rRNA from 1 species